UACAGAGGGGGCAAGCGUUGUUCGGAAUUACUGGGCGUAAAGGGCGCGUAGGCGGCCUGCUAAGUCGAACGUGAAAUCCCCGGGCUCAACCCGGGAACUGCGUCCGAUACUGGUGGGCUUGAAUCCGGGAGAGGGAUGUGGAAUUCCAGGUGUAGCGGUGAAAUGCGUAGAUAUCUGGAGGAACACCGGUGGCGAAGGCGGCAUCCUGGACCGGUAUUGACGCUGAGGCGCGAAAGCGUGGGGAGCGAACAGG
rnacentral:rRNA from 1 species